GCUUUAUUCAGAAGGCCUAUUUCAACAACCUGUACCUUGACAGCUGCUAAAAUACAUCAAUUUAUAAUAAUUUCGAUAUGGUUAUAUCAACUGAAAAGUUAAAAGACAUCACGUUUGUUUUUUUUUUUAAUUAAAGGUCGAGUAAAAGACUGAUGUUUGGUUGUACGAACAAAGCUCACUUAAUUUGUUCCAUGCGUUUUAUCUCAAAGUGUAUCUGGAAGUUUGCUCAAGCAAUCAAUGCAUAUGUUAGCCUUUCCAUUGCACCAAUCUUUAGUCAUCCUUAAAUAUAUUGAUCGUUUGCUUCUUUUUACAUUUUUACAUUUUGCAAACGUACGAGUUUACAGGAACAUUUAACUUCCUACAAACACAUAUAAAAACCUGAAUUUUCGGAAUGCGUUUGAGUUAUCGUUCUUUGUAAAAUUUGAACAACACAGAUCUUUUACACAUACGAUUGAUAUUGGUUUGACAAUACAUACAAGCCAGUGGUGAGUUUUUGAAUAAUACAACAGUGUCUGAGAACCAGAAAGUUAAUUUGACAUGGCCUUAUAUUGCAGUCUUUGUUCUGUUUUCUUUUGUAAAUUUAUUGCAGACUUUGUUCUGUUAUUUACAAGAGUAAUUCAAUGUUAUAUAUAUAUAUUUACAGAGUAAAAAUUUCUCCACCAAUGUAUUAAUAAUAACUAUCUAUGAUGUUUACAAUGAAAAGAAUACAUACAUCCCUUUUAUAAAAUGUCAAGUGUUAGAAACUUUUUUUUUUUUUUUAGAUUUUUGAAAUUUGAGACAAUAUAUUUUAAAUGAACAGCUGCGCCAGGAGCACAUGAUAUGACAAUCGUCUUGUAAAAAAAACCAUAAUAAAUGUUUUUGAAAUAACACGGGGGUUGUACAGGAAGUCAUGCUACAAGUAAGUAUAUCCUGACGCAUUCUCUAUUUCUGUUCAAUAGGAAGUUAUAUAAGAUACAGAAAAAAAUUGAUGACAACAUGUUUUAUAUGAUACCAAAUUGAAGCAAUAAUUUUGAUUAAGGGAGCAAAGAUUUAAGCAACGGAAACUUUGCAUGUCCACGAUGUCUAUACAUAAGUUGAAAAUUUCCUUAAAACAGAAAGUUGAUAAAAGAGGGAACCAAAAAUUGUUUCAACAUGUUUCAUUGUUCAUGGUAUAAUGUUUUUCUAUCAUAAACUCCCCAUAUUAAGUGUGUAAAUUUUUAAGCAAUAGAGAAACAACGCGAAAUGUGACCAAAAAGACUAUACAAUUUUAACCAAAAAAGCUCAAUAAAAAUUCAAUAACUCAAAGUAUACAGAUCUUAAGAUAUAUAUAUAACAAACAAGUGUGUGAAGUUUAAUGUAAUAAUCAUAAAUAGUUUCUGAGAUACCGCACACCAUGUGACCCCCCUCUUUUUUUUUUACAAAAACUCUAAAAUAAAAUUUUGAACCAUCACCAAAAAGUAUACAGAUCUUCAGAUUAAUUAAACUAAAAAGUGUUUAAAGUUUUAAGCAAUUAUCAUAAAUUGUUUUU
rnacentral:lncRNA from 1 species